rnacentral:ncRNA from 2 species
UACUGAUAAAGGCAAACCUACUGAAAGGUAGGGACGCAAAGCCAUGGGUCUAAGGGGCAAGGGUUCUAUGACUGCCAGGUUGCCAGC